UACAGAGGUCCCAAGCGUUGUUCGGAUUCACUGGGCGUAAAGGGUGCGUAGGCGGUCGGGUAAGUCUGAUGUGAAAUCUCACAGCUUAACUGUGAAACUGCAUUGGAUACUAUUCGGCUUGAGAGUUGGAGGGGGGACUGGAAUUCUUGGUGUAGCAGUGAAAUGCGUAGAUAUCGGGAGGAACACCAGUGGCGAAGGCGGUUGCCUGGGGCUUUGCUGACGCUGAUGCGCGAAAGCGUGGGGAGCGAUCCGG
rnacentral:rRNA from 1 species